GAUAACGCUUCUGUCCAGCAUUGAUGACAUCAGAGAGGGACUUUGGGUCGGAGCUGCUGACGUCAUCAUCCGCUCACUGUCAUACUCAGAGAAGAGGAGGUGCAGUCAGGAUCCAUAUCAGCGUUGCACAGGCUGUGUUUACCUGUAAACCUCUGGCCUGGUGGAAGGUGACACAGGUUACGUCGGAGAGCCAGAGAGCACGCGGGACAGCAUGAUGAGCAACGACAGAGAGAGGCAUGAUCAGAUGGUUCUAUCUCUAUGCGCUGUGUGAACCGAUGGCAGAGAAUAAUGUCGACCAAUAACAUCUCCCAGGCCAGGAAUGUGGUGGAGCAGCUCCGCAUCGAGGCGGGGAUCGAACGCAUCAAGGCAGGUUUGGAAUCAUAUUUAGGGCCCAGAGUUUUUCCAGGGCCUGAAGUUUUUCCAUGGUUAGGUCACAUGGCCUAUCCCCCUCUCUCUCUCUCCCUCUUCCCCCUCAGGUAUCUAAGGCAGCAGCAGAGCUGAUGAACUACUGUGAGAUGCACGCACACAGAGAUCCUCUGCUAGUGGGAUUGCCCACCUCUGGAAACCCCUUCAAGGACAAGAAGCCCUGCAUCAUCCUAUAGCUCCUCCCCUAUCCCAUCCCUGGCCUGUCAAUCACUGCCUUUGACCUCAAGACACUGUGGGAUGCUCCGUGAAACCCUAACCUCAAAGAGACUUUGAAGGAUAGAGAAGUGAUGCUAUAUACAAUACAUAUACAAUACAUACAUAGUCAUGAUUGUGAGCUGAAUAGCUGGAAAUCAAAUGAAUGGGAAUCAUUGGUGCUACAGAUGGUUAGGCAGAAAAAGUGUUGUUGUGACGCAUUGGAAAACAGGAACGUUACCGGAUGAUACUGCAAGAGGAGCGGUGAAACACAUAAUUGGCAGAUACAAAUGAAGGAACUACAAGCACAAGGCUGUUGGCUUUGUGUUCAUCCAAACACAUUUUCUGUCAUUCAGGAUGUAACAUUGUCUGGCUAGAGAGAGGACCCAGCUAGCACAUUUGGUUCCAUUAAAGUUUUGUUGACGCUGAGAACAGAAUGUAUGUUUUAAAAGAACAUUCUUAAAUGUUACUGUUUUCUUGGUGGGUUUUUUGGAAAGUUUUCUUGAUGUUCUGAGAACAUGGCUUUAAAUAGAAUCAUGAGGAAACCUGCAGAAAAUGUUAUGCUUAAGUACUGAAAUUCCCACAGAGAAAGUAGUUUCUUAACUUUCUUUGAACAAUUUAAGAACAUUACUUUAAAUCAGGGUUCCCCAACUGGCGGCCCAAGGCCCA